GAGGAUGCGCUUCGGCAAGUGCGUCUGACGGAAGGGAAGUUGACACGAACACACGCAGUUCCCGCUCGUUUGUUUUGCAGAGAAGUGCAGCAGCGGAACAAGAAGCGCGACUGAGCUCAGAAUUCCUUUAUUACUGUGCUUAGUGUUGACAUUUACAUAACCAAAUCACAUGCAUUCCUGUCACCCAAAAACAAUCAGGCGUUUUGGUUACUUCAUACACUGAUAGCAGGUCUUCUGGAAAUGUUGACACAAUCUGCUGGGUCAAAAGUGUACAUACAGCUAAUAGAAUAGAAAAGAAUACUAUCAUUAACAAUAAUAAUUCUUUAUUUUACCAGGUAAGAUCAGAUGAGAAUAAUUUCUCAUUUAAAAUGAUGACCUGGCAAGAGGCCCCAGCAGGAAGAAAGAUAACAAAUAAACAAUACAUAAACAAAAAAGGACACACAAGUGUUUAAACAGAGAUGAAAACACCCUAAAUUAGUGCAAGUAGAACAGUCAGCAUGUGCAGCAGUCAGCUAGGCUCUGCUGCAGCUUCUGCUUAAACAUGUAAAGUGAUGGAAGAGAAGAUAGUUUAAGAGAUCUUUGGAGGGAAUGCCAAUCAAUUGUUGCAGCAAAGGGAAAUUCCAGCUAAAGACACUGUGGACCUUGGGGAUAGAGAAUGUUCUGAGAUCACUGGACCUCGGGUGGUAGUUGUUAUGGGAAGGGUGAAGGAGGUUGGAGAGGUAUUGAAGUAUCUUCCCUGAAAGGAUCUUGCAGAUGAGUAAAAGCCAGUGUUGUAGUAGCCUGGUGUAAAGGGAUCACCAGCUCAUCAGUUUGUAGAAUAAAAAAAGAAAACAAUUAAAGCGCCAACAACUCUGGAAAACGUUUAGCACCAAGAAAAAAACAAAAAUGAAAAACAGAGGCAAUGUACUUUGGACAUCUUCACCUCAUUCCGGCACUUUUGGUAGUCAUCCACAAGCUUCUGCUGGUUGUACUUUUGACCGCUUCUCAUGACAGAAUUGGUGUGUUUCUACUAAAUUUCUUGUCUUUCUGAUGCAGACUUGUUUCUUAGUCACAGCCCACAGGUUCUAGAUGGGGUUUCAGGCUGUAUACAGUCCCAGUUCCAGCCUGAUUUAGUCAUUUCUUUACCACUUUUGAUGUAUUUUUGGGGUCAUAGUCUGGUUUUAUACAAUAUGGAGCUGAUCCACUUCUUUAUUAUUAUACUAUUAUACUAUAUUUACUUAGCUUAUCGCACCAGUUUCCCUGGCAACAAGACAGCCCCAGAGCAUAAUAAUACCACCACCAUGCUUGACUGUAGGUUUGAUCAUCUUGGGGUCAAAGGCCUCACAUCCUCUCUUUCAAGUUUAUUUCUAGUCAUUGUUGCCAACUAGCUCAAGUUUUCUUUCAUGUGACCAUAGCACUUUUGUCCAGAAGGCCUUGUCUUUGUCCUUUGUUCUUUGUUCUUCAGUUGAGCCUUAAUGUGUUAUUUCUAGGAAGGACUUCCUUCUUGCCUGGCAGCCUCACUUGAUUCUGGACACUGAAAUCUAUGUUAAAGCAGAUUGUAACUCAUUGCAAACCCACUUUUUUGGUGACUCUUGGUUGAUUCUUGACCAUCCUGACCAGCUGUCUCUCAGCAGCAGGUGAUAAUUUGCACUUUCUUCCUCAUCAUGUCAGUGUACCAUGUGCGGUUUUCCUACAAAUAAUUGUUUGAACAUACAGUUUUGGGAUCUGUAGCCGCUUUGAAAUGGCAUCAAAUUGCUGUAUGUAUGUUUUUGACCAAGCAGGCUUUAUCAUAUUUUGUCAUCUAGCGGCUGUUUUUGUGCUGUUAAAUACUUCAUUGAUGGCCAAACUAUUAGGCUAUCACAAAUCCUGUUAGUAACUGAAGCCAGUCUUAUUUGGAUAUAUUCAAAUGUUAUUUUCUACAAUAUGAUCCAGGUGUUUUAUAUCAAUUGCUGUUUAUUAAAUAGCUCUCACUUGACAGAGUAGCUGGAUUAAGAGGAUGACUAACUUAUCCAGGUUGUAAUCCCAUUACUUAGAUCUAGCCUUACCUUGUGCUUUGUAAUGGACUUAGUCUUGCAUCUCACCAGUGUUUUACAUGCUCAUUAACCACAGAGGUCUCACUGCAGGUAUGUUUAUUAAUAAUAUUUGUUAUAUUUAUUAGCUAUAUGGUCUGUUUUAUGGCUUUAAUACAUAUUCAAGAGUAAAUCUUUGGUCUAACUAUGUGAAAAUACGCUACACUGACUCUGUCCAACUAUGAUGUUUCAGAGUUUUGAGAACCUUGUGGUCGUACAAGAAAGAAAUAAUCGGUCACUAACUGGUUGUCGUUCUGUCCUUCCAGGUGAUCUCUGCCCUGAACCAGAUGUUGUUUUAGCUGUGACAACUCAGACUUCAUUUCUUCAGUGAAAUGCUGCUCAGUAGAGAAACCAAAGAACUACAGACUCUUCACAACCUGCUCAAACUCUUGGUACAGGACCUCUCCACACGGGUCAAGAAGGUUUCCUUCUCAUUUCUACUCUGAAGCUCACCUUCUCCUGCUCAAACUGCUGACAAAUGUUUCUGCUGCUCUAAAGUCUGGUCUCCAGAACUUCCUAAAAACUCUCAAAGUCUCUUCUGCUGCAGGUUGCUUUGUAGAACUGUUCCAGAAAACCUCACUUAAACCACAUGGAGGGGCCUCAAGAUAGUUGUCCAAAUGAAACCGUACAAAAACCAAACUAGCACAACCCAAACACUAAAGUCUCCUGUAGCCUACCAGAGAAGCUCAUUAAACAGAGAAUCAGGACAGGAACUCUUACCUUCUGGACAACCAACAUUGGUUCACAAACAAGAAUAUGGGCCUAAAACAUUUACACUGUAAAGUAUCUCUGAAUAAAUCUAAAUCUGUCCAAAAAGUGGAAAAACAAUUUCUCAGUUUUUGUUAGCCGUUUGUGAAAUUAAAUGUUCACUCACAUCCUGUGCAUCUCCUGGGGGCUAAGCGCCCCUGUCCUUAAAACCUAGUGACGCCCCUGGUUUGACUCCACUUGUCCCCUCAGAGGGAAGGAUUACUGCAAAUCAAUAUAAAGUUGUUCUGAGUGAUCAUCUUAAUCCUACGAUUAAAUAUUUUUGUCCUGAUCCUUCCAGGCCAACAAGUCCACCAGGGGUCAGCGAAGAGUUUGAUGAGAGUGAAAGCAAUGAGAAUCAUUUUCCAUGACUUUUGUAGUCACCAAAUCCAAACUUGGAUAAACUCCUGUUGAAAAUAUUGAGCUGAUGUGUUAGGCCGUGCUCUGUACAACAUCAUUAAAACACCAAAUUGCAGAAUAUCAUUUGAAAGAAUGGCGUUCCAAUCCUCCAGUAAAGUUUGAGAGACUCAGUGCCCAUGUACCUUGAAGUUGUUCUGGCCCAACACCUUAUUUAAGACUCUACGCUGAUUUUUCCUUUAAAUUGUCACCUGACAGUAUCUCAACAGCUAUUGUAUAGAUUAUCAUGAAUCUUCAAGGAAAAACAUUUGUAAUCUACAGAGGAUGAAUCCAGCUCUGCCUUUAGAGAUCCCCCUUCUUUUCUUUUAGUACCUACAAAAGGUUUACAUUUGUGGACUUUUUGUGAAAUGUAUCAGCAGCUAUUGGAUGCCGGAGUAUCUAUCUAUCUAUCUAUCUAUCUAUCUAUCUAUCUAUCUAUCUAUCUAUCCAUCUAUCUAUCUCUCUCUCUCUAUCUAUUGUCUGCCCAUCCAUCGUCCGUCCUCCAUUUAUCUGUCCGUCUAUCUGUCCGUCCGUCGAUCUAACGUCCGUCCGUCCAUCCAUCCAUCCAUCCACAGUUGUGAUCAUAUACAUGGACAUAAACUGUACUUGAUAAAAGGUUUAAACUAUUAUAAGACCAAUGAAAAUACUUUUUCUUCCCCAUCUUUUUUAACCCUGCUUCUUUGUCUAUCACUGCUCCUCCACCUUCCUUUGUGCCUCCAUCGUCUGCAUACCGUACUCUUCUCUGUAUCUCAUUCAUAAUGGAAGCGCUUCAAAAGCCGUGUUUUUACCGAUUUAUUUUUUGUAUGUGUGUUUAUGUCUCUGCGCAUGCACAUGUAUGAAUGUAUGUAUUCUGACCUACUUCAGGGAGCGGCAAUGCUGGAUGCCGCUGAAGGGAAUUUUAAGAGGAUCUCACAUCAGCGGAGCAAUCACACGAUUAAACCGUGCUGCAUUCAAUGUUUUGCCUCGCUAAGUCUUUUGACAGUUGAUUACACAUAAAGAAAGGAUUAUGUUCACUAAAAAAAAGUUGGUUGACCACAAGAUUGUUGUUCUACGUGCAAAAUGUACUGGGGAAGAAUGCAUGUCUUUUUGUGUAUUUUUAUGCAAAUGGAGCAGACGGAUAUUCAACCCAUGCUUCAUUAUAUCUUUGACUAUA